rnacentral:rRNA from 1 species
GCUCAACCGAAGAAGUGCAUCGGAAACUGGGAAACUUGAGUGCAGAAGAGGACAGUGGAACUCCAUGUGUAGCGGUGAAAUGCGUAGAUAUAUGGAAGAACACCAGUGGCGAAGGCGGCUGUCUGGUCUGUAACUGACGCUGAGGCUCGAAAGUAUGGGUAGCAAACAGGAUUAGAUACCCUGGUAGUCCAUACCGUAAACGAUGAAUGCUAAGUGUUGGAGGGUUUCCGCCCUUCAGUGCUGCAGCUAACGCAUCAAGCAUUCCGCCUGGGGAGUACGGCCGCAAGGCUGAAACUCAAAGGAAUUGACGGGGGCCCGCACAAGCGGUGGAGCAUGUGGUUUAAUUCGAAGCUACGCGAAGAACCUUACCAGGUCUUGACAUACUAUGCAAAUCUAAGAGAUUAGACGUUCCCUUCGGGGACAUGGAUACAGGUGGUGCAUGGUUGUCGUCAGCUCGUGUCGUGAGAUGUUGGGUUAAGUCCCGCAACGAGCGCAACCCUUAUUAUCAGUUGCCAGCAUUAAGUUGGGCACUCUGGUGAGACUGCCGGUGACAAACCGGAGGAAGGUGGGGAUGACGUCAAAUCAUCAUGCCCCUUAUGACCUGGGCUACACACGUGCUACAAUGGAUGGUACAACG